GUAGGGAAUAUUGGGCAAUGGUCGGAAGACUGACCCAGCCAUGCCGCGUGCAGGAAGACGGCCCUCUGGGUUGUAAACUGCUUUUAUCUGGGAAGAAAAAGGCCAUGCGUGGCAAAUUGCCGGUACCAGAUGAAUAAGCACCGGCUAACUCCGUGCCAGCAGCCGCGGUAAUACGGAGGGUGCGAGCAUUGUCCGGAUUUAUUGGGUUUAAAGGGUGCGUAGGCGGCUGAUUAAGUCAGCGGUGAAAGACUUCGGCUUAACCGGAGCAGUGCCGUUGAUACUGGUUGGCUUGAGUGUCGGAGGGGUACAUGGAAUUGAUGGUGUAGCGGUGAAAUGCAUAGAUACCAUCAGGAACACCGAUAGCGAAGGCAUUGUACUGGCCGACAACUGACGCUGAUGCACGAAAGUGUGGGGAUCGAACAGGAUUAGAAACCCCGGUAGUCC
rnacentral:rRNA from 1 species